rnacentral:misc_RNA from 1 species
AGCAGCCGCGGUAAUUCCAGCUCCAAUAGCGUAUAUUAAAGUUGUUGCAGUUAAAAGCUCGUAGUUGAAUUUCGAGACCGGUUUACUGGUCGUGCUUUUGUACGUACUGGUAUUAUUGGUUUCUCCUUUCUGACGAAUCUUAAUGCCAUUAAUUUGGUGUUUUGGGGAAUCAGGACUGUUACUUUGAAAAAUUAGAGUGUUUAAAGCAGGCUCACGCUUGAAUACAUUAGCAUGGAAUAACGGAAUAGGACGUUUGAUUCUAUUUUGUUGGUUUCUAGGAUCGACGUAAUGAUUAAUAGGGAUAGUUGGGGGCAUUAGUAUUCAAUUGUCAGAGGUGAAAUUCUUGGAUUUAUUGAAGACUAACUACUGCGAAAGCAUUUGCCAAGGAUGUUUUCAUUAAUCAAGAACGAAAGUUAGGGAUCGAAGACGAUCAGAUACCGUCGUAGUCUUAACCAUAAACUAUGCCGACUAGGGAUCGGAUGAUGUUAAUUUUUAAUGACUCAUUCGGCGCCUUACGGGA